GCGAGAGUGGCGGAACUGGUAGACGCACUGGACUUAGAAUCCAGCACCCUAGGUAUGGGGGUUCAAAUCCCCCCUCUCGCA
rnacentral:tRNA from 1 species